rnacentral:rRNA from 1 species
UGGGGAAUAUUGCACAAUGGGCGCAAGCCUGAUGCAGCCAUGCCGCGUGUGUGAAGAAGGCCUUCGGGUUGUAAAGCACUUUCAGCGAGGAGGAAGGUGGUGAGCUUAAUACGCUCAUCAAUUGACGUUACUCGCAGAAGAAGCACCGGCUAACUCCGUGCCAGCAGCCGCGGUAAUACGGAGGGUGCAAGCGUUAAUCGGAAUUACUGGGCGUAAAGCGCACGCAGGCGGUUUGUUAAGUCAGAUGUGAAAUCCCCGGGCUCAACCUGGGAACUGCAUUUGAAACUGGCAAGCUAGAGUCUCGUAGAGGGGGGUAGAAUUCCAGGUGUAGCGGUGAAAUGCGUAGAGAUCUGGAGGAAUACCGGUGGCGAAGGCGGCCCCCUGGACGAAGACUGACGCUCAGGUGCGAAAGCGUGAGGAGCAAACAGGAUUAGAUACCCUGGUAGUCCACGCUGUAAAACGAUGUCGAUUUUGGAGGUUGUGCCCUUGAGGCGUGGCUUCCGGAGCUAACGCGUUAAAUCGACCGCCUGGGGAGUACGGCCGCAAGGUUAAAACUCAAAUGAAUUGACGGGGUC